GUGAUAUUAAUAAAACAAUUAUACUGCUUUGUCAAGGCAGAAGUGUGGGAUAACAACCUGCAUAUCACU
rnacentral:tRNA from 1 species